GGUGGCUCAGUGAUAGAGCGCUUGCCUAGCAUGCAUGAAGCCUGGGGCUCGAUUCCUCAGUACCA
rnacentral:tRNA from 1 species